AGAUAUUGUUCCAUUGUCGGUCCGUCGUGAAAGCCGAGGGUGUUGCAUGCCAUAACGAGAAAAGCCCGUGCUUAUGCUCUUCUGACUGGCAGAAUAUGGUAAUUGAUCAGUUUUGGUAACAUUGUGGUGACUGCACAGCCGGUUAGAUAUACCACAGAUCCUUUCAUAUUCGAUAUGCCAUCAUGGUGGGGGAAGUCUUCCUCAAAAGAUGCAAAGAAAACCACCAAAGAGAACCUCAUGGAUACAUUUCAUCGGUUUAUAAGUCCAAAUGAGCAAAAAGGAAGCACAAAAUCAAAACGGAGGUACAGACGUGGCGAUGAUACAACUGUUGAAAAGGUCUGCCAGUCUACCACAGUAUCGCGCGCAACUUCACCCUCAAAAGAAGUUUCUCGCUGUCAAAGCUUUUCAGCUGAUAGGGUACAUUCCCAACCGCUUCCUGUUCCUGGAUCACGUCCUGCAGUGACACGCACUGCUUCUGAUGUCACCGAAUCAAGGCCCAUAUUAGAAAAACGUGGCAAACCACCACUGCUUCUGCCACUUCCUAAACCUAACAGGCCUCAGAGAAGGUCAGAAAUAGUGAUUGCUUCACUUUCUAGCAACUGCUCUGUUGAUAGUGAUGACCAUGGAGAUUCUCAGCUUCCGAGCCCUGUUGGAAAUGAUGCUGAAAACACAACAAAUACUACUUCCAAGAGCAAGUCAAGUAAUGUGCGCAAAGAGCGUCCUGGUGCUAUCACCACCAAGAAUACGAAGGAGAUGGCAAAGACAGCUAAUCAAUUCCUCAGUAACCAUACAUUGUCCACAUCACCGAGAGGUAUUGCAGCUGACAAUCACCAACCUAAUCCACAAAAUCCUCGGCCGGUAGUCUUGGAGAGUGCUCCAAAUAGUUUGAUGUCAAGUCCUUCUAGAAGUCCGAGAAGAAUAUGUCCAGACCAUAUUCCAACUUCAGCCUUUUGGGCAGUGAAGCCUCAUACAGAUGUUACUUUCCUUGGCUCUGGUCAGUGCUCCAGUCCAGGUUCAGGGCAAACAUCUGGCCAUAACUCUGUGGGUGGUGAUAUGCUAGCCCAGCUUUUCUGGCAGCCCAGCAGAGGUAGUCCAGAGUGUUCACCGAUUCCUAGCCCAAGAAUGACAAGUCCUGGCCCUAGUUCCAGGGUGCACAGUGGAAGUGUUUCUCCAUUGCAUCCGAGGUCUGGAGGGAUGGCACCUGAAUCUCCGACAGGUCGGAAUGAUGGUGGGAAGAAGAAGCAAACCCACAGAUUGCCUCUUCCACCACUGAGCAUCUCUAAUAGUUCAUUUUUUCCAAACAAGUCCACGCCAGCUAGUCCUAUUUCAGCGCCUCGUAGUCCUGGCCGAACAGAGAAUCCACCAAGUCCUGGAUCACGAUGGAAGAAGGGGAAGCUGAUUGGUCGUGGAACAUUUGGCCAUGUAUAUGUUGGCUUUAACAGUGAUAGCGGUGAAAUGUGUGCUAUGAAAGAGGUGACCCUAUUCUCGGAUGAUCCUAAAUCAAAGGAAAGUGCAAAGCAGUUGGGGCAGGAAAUAUCGCUCUUGAGCCGCUUACAACACCCAAAUAUCGUACGAUACUAUGGCACAGAAACGGUUGAUGACAAACUGUAUAUAUACUUGGAGUUUGUGUCUGGUGGAUCUAUCCAUAAACUUCUACAAGAGUAUGGACAGCUUGGUGAACCAGCAAUACGCAGCUACACUCAGCAGAUACUCUCAGGCUUAGCUUAUUUGCAUGCGAAGAAUACAGUCCAUAGGGAUAUCAAAGGUGCAAACAUACUAGUAGAUCCUAGCGGUCGUGUUAAGCUUGCAGACUUUGGAAUGGCUAAACAUAUCAAUGGGCAGCAAUGUCCUUUCUCAUUUAAGGGUAGUCCAUAUUGGAUGGCUCCAGAGGUUAUAAAGAGUUCGAAUGGUGGUUGCAAUCUUGCGGUUGACAUAUGGAGUUUAGGAUGCACUGUCCUGGAGAUGGCUACCGCAAAACCCCCAUGGAGCCAGUACGAAGGGAUUGCUGCAAUGUUCAAGAUUGGAAAUAGCAAGGAACUUCCACCAAUACCAGAUCACCUAUCAGAGCAGUGCAAGGACUUCAUCAGAAAGUGUCUGCAGCGUGAUCCUUCUCAACGGCCGACAGCAAUGGAGCUUUUGCAACACCCGUUCAUACAAUAUAAAGUCCGACUUGAGAAAUCCGUUAUGUCUGAUCCUUUGGAACAUUUGCCCGUGAUAUCUUGUAGACCGAAUUCUAAGGUGGCUGGACAUACAACAAAUAUCUCGUCAUUGGGAUUGGAGGGUCAGACAAUUUACCAGAGGAGGGGUGCAAAAUAUUCUUCGAAGCAUAGCGAUAUCCAUAUACGGAGCAAUAUAUCCUGUCCAGUUUCUCCAUGUGGAAGUCCUCUGCUAAGGUCAAGGUCUCCCCAACAUACAAAUGGCCGAAUGUCACCAUCUCCAAUUUCAAGCCCCAGAACCCUUUCAGGCGCUUCUACUCCCCUGUCUGGUGGUAAUGGUGCUAUUCCCUUUAAUCAUUCAAAGCAACCAACCUACAACAAUGAAGAUUUGCAAUCGCAUCAAGAGGCCCAGAUGAUCACUUCCCCAACCGGCCUACAGAUCGUAACCUUGGGCAGUUUGGUCGAGUGCAUCAAGUCUCACAGGGGAAUCAGGAGAGGAUAGUAUCUGAAGCUAACAUUCUGAGCCCUCAAUUUGGAAAGAGGCUUGGAAACGUUUUUGAUUUGCGUGAUAGACUGUCCCCUUCUGAACAUUUCACUCGUCCUGCCUUGGUGGAUCAUGUGAAGCCAAAUCCUUCACUAGACUUAACAACUGGUUCUCCCCACCAUGGACUCAAGCGUGAUAACUAACUAUCAAGGAUAGGCCAAGCGAAUUUUUUUGGAGCUUGGCAGGGUAACUAAGUGGUUUUCAGCUGCUUUGGCCAGUCAGUGGCUUGAAUUGUAUCAUAAUAUAAUAUGACUAUGGGAAAUAUCAUUGAUUUAUUUUGAAGCUAACAACUGUAGAUGGAUGGAGUCUUUGUUGUCAUCCCCACAGAUAGACAAAGGCCAUCCAUCCAUCCAUCCAUCCCUGUUAGGCGGAACAACUGGGUGUUUGCAUACUACUACUACUGGCGUGCUAACAACAUGCGUCGAAAUGACAAGACUGUAUACUAGGAGACUGAAGAAGCCAGAGCAGUUGGCCACCUCCCUGCCUCUACAUGUUAAUUGCCCUUCUUGGCGUCCUGAUGCCAUUUGUACAGAAGUAAUCUCAAGUAAAAGCCAACCAAUAUUUUGCACAGGAGAAACAGUUGAGCCAAAUUCUUUUAACAGCUACCCGAGGUUGUGAAGCGACGGCUGCAAGUUACCAUGGAAACUCGUACAAAGAGCAUGGUCCCUAAUUAAAUUAGCUCUCCCGAUAUGUAUAAUUUCUCAUUCAGAUGUACCAUGCCCGUCCAGUUGUUCAUAUUGAAUCGGUAUAUAUACAACUUGUCUGCGUUACUGCCGGUAGCCGUAUGUAUUCCUCCAAGUUCCAUAUGCAUUCUGCCUGCAUGUUGCCAUGUAGUGAGCCACACCAACCGCAUCAAUUCACCCGUAUGCCGUGCGAAAGGUGGUGCGCUGGGUUGGGUGCUUGCAUCGUUGCGUCUGCUUGUCGCCAGGAUUCGGUGUGCUCCUAGUCAGCUCAGUUUGGCAGUAUGCAACUAUGCAUUAUUAUGUCUUGGCAUGCCAUCCGUCCAUGUCCAGUUGCCUCCCUCGCACGGUAACAAAGGCCACCGUCUGUCCUGGCGAUCUACCGUUGCUCAGAUCGGCCCGACAGCGUCAGCACCUUUCGAGCUGGCGUGGUGUCCAUCAGGGCUCAUAGAGGUGAGCGCCGAGUUUUCACCAUCGCCAGUCUGUCUGGUGUUUCUAAAAAAAAAGUACAGACCGGUAAACUUGCUGUUUUGACUUUUUUGGUUUUUGCGAAGGGUCUAUCUAGGACACAUCUAGAUGUAACAUAGUUAUGUCAUAUCUAACCUGAUCUUCACUAUGUUUGUGGUCUAUUUUUUU
rnacentral:rRNA from 1 species